CAAGGAAUUUUGGGCAAUGGGCGAAAGCCUGACCCAGCGACGCCGCGUGGGGGAUGAAGGCCCUCGGGUCGUAAACCCCUUUUCUCAGGGAAGAAUAAUGACGGUACCUGAGGAAUAAGUCUCGGCUAACUACGUGCCAGCAGCCGCGGUAAUACGUAGGAGGCGAGCGUUAUCCGGAUUUACUGGGCGUAAAGAGAGCGUAGGCGGUUCUUCAAGUCGGAUGUAAAAUCUCCCGGCUCAACUGGGAGGGACCAUCCGAUACUGUAGGGCUAGAGGGCAGCAGAGGGAGGUGGAAUUCCCGGUGUAGUGGUGACAUGCGUAGAUAUCGGGAGGAACACCAGUGGCGAAGGCGGCCUCCUGGGCUGUUUCUGACGCUGAGGCUCGAAAGCGUGGGUAGCGAACAGAAUUAGAUACUCUGGUAGUCCACGCCGUAAACGAUGGACACUAGGUAUGGGGGGUAUCGACCCUCUCCGUGCCGAAGCUAACGCGUUAAGUGUCCCGCCUGGGGACUACGGCCGCAAGGCUA
rnacentral:rRNA from 1 species